UACGUAGGGUCCGAGCGUUGUCCGGAGUUACUGGGCGUAAAGGGCGCGCAGGCGGCGGUGCUGGCCCGGCGUGAAAGCCCCCGGCUCAACCGGGGAGGGUCGUCGGGGACCGCACCGCUUGAGGGCGGUAGGGGCUGGUGGAAUGCCUGGUGUAGUGGUGAAAUGCGUAGAGAUCAGGCAGAACACCCGUGGCGAAGGCGGCCAGCUGGGCCGUCCCUGACGCUGAGGCGCGAAGGCGUGGGGAGCGAACGGGAUUAGAAACCCCAGUAGUCC
rnacentral:rRNA from 1 species